CGUUGCUCGGAACCACUGGGCGUAAAGCGCACGUAGGCGGAUUGUUAAGUCAGGGGUGAAAUCCUGGAGCUCAACUCCAGAACUGCCUUUGAUACUGGCGAUCUCGAGUCCGGGAGAGGUGAGUGGAACUGCGAGUGUAGAGGUGAAAUUCGUAGAUAUUCGCAAGAACACCAGUGGCGAAGGCGGCUCACUGGCCCGGUACUGACGCUGAGGUGCGAAAGCGUGGGGAGCAAACAGG
rnacentral:rRNA from 1 species